rnacentral:rRNA from 1 species
UACGGGGGGGGGCAAGCGUUGUUCGGAAUUACUGGGCGUAAAGGGCUCGUAGGCGGCCAACUAAGUCGGACGUGAAAUCCCUCGGCUUAACCGGGGAACUGCGUCCGAUACUGGAUGGCUUGAGUUCGGGAGAGGGAUGCGGAAUUCCAGGUGUAGCGGUGAAAUGCGUUGAUAUCGGAAGGAACGCCGGUGGCGAAAGCGAGCUGCUGGACCUCUGCUGACGCUGAGGCGCGAAAGCCAGGGGAGCAAACGGGG